UUUCACGAUCAAUUCCCAGUGCCACCAGUUAGAUUCACCUCAUGACUGCCUCCUCAUCGUCCUCUGCCGCCGGCGACGUACUGCCUCUGAUGCCUUGUCCCGAUUGGGGCGGCAAGGUUAUAAGCUGGAUUUCCAGCGGCGGAGCUAGCCUGGGCUCCCUGUUCUACAGGUGCGUCAGGAAAGAUGCUGGCCUGUGUGGAUUCAGAUCCACCGAGGUGUACACCGCCGUGUUCAUGAAUCUUCUAGCUGGCGGCCGAUGUCCCGUGUCCUGUGUAUUCAUGUUGACCCCACAGAUGGAUAUCUAUUAGUAUGUGUACUCAUUAGUGUCCUGGUUAGUUAUCCAUCAUGUAGUAGUAUUAGAAAAGCAAGUAAUGGAUGGUCUGUAUUUUGGUAUUUCCCCACUGUCCCUUUUGUGGCAACCAUGGUUAUGUGUCAU
rnacentral:rRNA from 1 species